rnacentral:rRNA from 1 species
GAGGUGAACGCUAGCUACAGGCUUAACACAUGCAAGUCGAGGGGAAACGAUAUUGGAAGCUUGCUUCCGAUAGGCGUCGACCGGCGCACGGGUGAGUAACGCGUAUCCAACCUGCCCAUCACUUGGGAAUAACCUUGCGAAAGUAAGACUAAUGCCCAAUGACAUUUAUAGAAGGCAUCUGAAAUGAAUUAAAGAUUUAUCGGUGAUGGAUGGGGAUGCGUCUGAUUAGCUUGUUGGCGGGGUAACGGCCCACCAAGGCGACGAUCAGUAGGGGUUCUGAGAGGAAGGUCCCCCACAUUGGAACUGAGACACGGUCCAAACUCCUACGGGAGGCAGCAGUGAGGAAUAUUGGUCAAUGGGCGAGAGCCUGAACCAGCCAAGUAGCGUGCAGGAAGACGGCCCUAUGGGUUGUAAACUGCUUUUAUAGGGGAAUAAAGUGAGCCACGUGUGGUUUUUUGCAUGUACCCUAUGAAUAAGGACCGGCUAAUUCCGUG